UAGAUUGGCAAGAGUAGGGACAGCGGACAGUGAAUUUCUGACGAAGGUACAACCAUAUUCCGACUUUCCCAGCCGCGCACGGCUCGAAGCUUUGGGUGCAUUUAUUGGCGGCCCAUAGGUAGAAGCACACGGCAGUUGAACAGUGGCAGUAUAACUACCCACGUAUGCAUACAUCUAUACGUGUCGACAUACACGUAGGACAGACAACACGAAUUGGUCCUCGGUUGGACGUCAACCGAAACGCGAAACAGCGCCGAAGAUUGGCGACGUCGCGACGCCUUGCAGAUUUAUUUAGAUUUAAGUAUGGACACUAAAGUCGAUGACGAGGGGCAUCGGAGUAUUAACGAUGGUGACUGGAUCUGCCCCGACUCCCAGUGUGGCAAUGUUAAUUUUGCUAGACGAAAUUCUUGCAAUCGGUGCGGCAAAGACAGAGGGGAAUGUCCCAAGAAAAAGAAGUUAGGACAAGAGAUUGGCAAAGCUGCUGCGGAGAAAAGCAGGGGCUUGUUUAGUGCGGAUGACUGGCAGUGUAGCAAGUGUGGUAACGUGAAUUGGGCACGGAGGCAGCAAUGUAAUAUGUGUAAUGCUCCGAAGUUUGGUGAGGUUGAGGAACGAACAGGCUACGGAGGCGGUUACAAUGAUCGUGGAGUUGUCGAGUACAAGGAACGAAAGGAUGACGACGAUGACGAAUAUGACGAGUUUGGGAGGCGAAGGAAAAAGCGAAAACUCGAAAGUAGAACGUCCGACGAGGACUCCAAGGACUCAUUCAAAUAUAUCAGCCCACCCAGGAGCAAACCGAAAGAAGAUAUCAAAAUUGAGGAGCUGAAACCUGAGGGAAACAAAGAGGCUGAUAACGAAGAUGAGGAGGAGGAGGAAGAAGAAGAGGAUGACGACGACGGCGACUUAUCCAAGUAUGAUCUCAGCGAAUGGGACGAUUUUGUUCCAGCCGAAAAAACCUUAAAUCGCAAAGUUACAACCUCGCGAGAUCAGCGGUCAAGGUAAACACGAAACGGUGGAGAAAGACUGGACUCUGGCACAUCCAGCCAAUAAAUGGUUGGACAGGACAGGUUUGGUCUGGAUUUUGGAUGACACAACACGCGACAAGAGUUGCUGAGUACCGAAAAGAGAUUAGUGCUGUAAGGUGUGGCACAGUGAUUAGAAAAUGGCAAAGCCUGAUCUUGUGCCAUUCGGAAUCACAUUAAAAACGAAAACGAUCAGCACAUCCAGCGCUUGUUAAUACCAUAGUCGGGACACGUUUACUGGUUACCACCUCGCAAUCAAGUUUGCAGUCUUAGAUAAGCCUUUAGAUCUACUAAAACCAAACCAUUUUAUUCCACCGA